rnacentral:sRNA from 1 species
GCAUAGCCCCGGUAGAAACGGCAUCCUUUUUUUGCCGCUUUUGCGGAAAAAAAGAUAUAGUGAAUGACGGGACUGGUG